rnacentral:rRNA from 1 species
AACGAACGCUGGCGGCAGGCUUAACACAUGCAAGUCGAACGCAUCGCAAGAUGAGUGGCAGACGGGUGAGUAACGCGUGGGAACAUACCCUUUUCUACGGAAUAGCUCUGGGAAACUGGAACUAAUACCGUAUACGCCCUUUACUGGUGGACAGUUUAGGGGAAAGAUUUAUCGGGGAAGGAUUGGCCCGCGUUGGAUUAGCUAGUUGGUGGGGUAACGGCCUACCAAGGCGACGAUCCAUAGCUGGUCUGAGAGGAUGAUCAGCCACAUUGGGACUGAGACACGGCCCAAACUCCUACGGGAGGCAGCAGUGGGGAAUAUUGGACAAUGGGCGCAAGCCUGAUCCAGCCAUGCCGCGUGAGUGAUGAAGGCCUUAGGGUUGUAAAGCUCUUUCACCGAUGAAGAUAAUGACGGUAGUCGGAGAAGAAGCCCCGGCUAACUUCGUGCCAGCAGCAGCCGCGG